rnacentral:misc_RNA from 1 species
UCCGCCCAUCAAGGCGGCUGUCUCGGCAGACACGUAUAACUGCCGACGCGGGUUGCGCUCGUUGCGGGACUUAACCCAACAUCUCACGACACGAGCUGACGACAACCAUGCAGCACCUGUGCAGCACCCUCGAAGGAGCCGGCUUUCACCGGUGUGCAGCUGCAUGUCAAGCCUGGGUAAGGUUCUUCGCGUUGCGUCGAAUUAAACCACACGCUCCGCUGCUUGUGCGGGCCCCCGUCAAUUCCUUUGAGUUUUAAGCUUGCGCUCGUACUCCCCAGGCGGCCGGCUUACCGCGUGAGCUUAGGCACCCAGGACCCUAAACGGGUCCCAGCCACCGAGCCGGCAUCGUUUACGGCGUGGACUAC